rfam:Anopheles gambiae M scf_1925491112 genomic scaffold, whole genome shotgun sequence.
UAUAGUUCUGGUGUCUGUGUUGUAGGAGUACUUCGCUGAUGCAAGAAGUUAACAUAGGCUCUACAUCCCCUACUCCUACUCCAUACGUCCUAGUCGUACAGAACGGUAACACCUCUGAAUUAUCCCGAAAGGCUGCGCUGGUUUCUCUCGUCUUGGUGUCAUUGCAACGA